GAUGAAGAACGUAGCGAAAUGCGAUGAGUAAUGUGAAUUGCAGAAUUCAGUGAAUCAUCGAAUCUUUGAACGCACAUUGCGCCCAUUAGUAUUCUAGUGGGCAUGCCUGUUCGAGCGUCAUUAAUUCCACUUAAGCCCUGCUUAGUGUUGGGAAUCUACUCUAGUGGUGCUACCCUGGAGCUACCCCUGAAAGGGGGCUGGCCCGGUAGCUACCCUGUAGUUCCUCAAAGAUAGUGCGCGGAGUUGCGUGGUCCUCUGAGCUUAGUAACUAUACACCUAGCUUUUGAGUGUCCCGCGGCGCCUGCCGUUUAAACCCCAUCUUUUAAUGGUUGACCUCGGAUCAGGUAGGAAUACCCGCUGAACUUAAGCAUAUCAAUAAGCGGAGGA
rnacentral:misc_RNA from 1 species